UCACAGCUCACUCCCCUAUUUAAACGGCGCUGACUGCGGCUCCCGACAAAGCCGGCCUGAGCUGAAGCCGCCCAUUCCUGGAGUGUCCAAGUGUGUGUCAGUGCUCAGAGUGAUGGGGGUCGCUGCUUAUCUCUGUCUCCUUCUGUCCUGUCUGACAGGCGUUCGAUCUGCGAUCGUGCUGAAUCAGACCCCGACCGUGGUGGCAAAGCCCGGAGGGUCCCUCACACUGACCUGUGCAACCAGCGGGUUCAACCUCAGCAUCACCCCCAUGCACUGGGUGAAACAGGUCUCCGGGAAAGGGCUGGACUGGGUAGGAAGGUCGUAUAAAGGUGACAAAAAAUACGGUCCUGCCUUCAGCGGCCGAUUCGAAGUUUCCAUGGACAGCAGCAACGUCUAUCUCCAAAUGAACGACCUGAGACUGAACGACACGGCCACCUAUUACUGUGCGAGACACACAGUGAGAGGAAGCGGGGCCGGGCCGGUACAACAACCCAGGGGAGAGAGAGCCUGCCCUCAGCUCGGAGCCAAGCGCCGUGGGUGGAACUGGAGUCACGGGUCGAUGAAUCCCGGUGUCCGUCUCUGAGACACGGUCAAUAGUCGGGCGAGAAGGAACCUCUGU